rnacentral:rRNA from 1 species
CGUGUAGGCGGGUUAUUAAGUCAGAUGUGAAAUACCGAGGCUCAACUUCGGGGCUGCAUCUGAAACUAAUAAUCUUGAGUGCAGGAGAGGAAAGCGGAAUUCCAAGUGUAGCGGUGAAAUGCGUAGAUAUUUGGAGGAACACCAGUGGCGAAGGCGGCUUUCUGGACUGUAACUGACGCUGAGGCGCGAAAGCGUGGGGAGCAAACAGGAUUAGAUACCCUGGUAGUCCACGCCGUAAACGAUGGAUACUAGGUGUAGGAGGUAUCGACCCCUUCUGUGCCGGAGUUAGCACAAUAAGUAUCCCACCUGGGGAGUACGGCCGCAAGGUUGAA